CAUGGCUCAGGAUGAACGCUAGCGGCAGGCUUAACACAUGCAAGUCGAGGGGCAGCGCGUAGUAGCAAUACUUGGCGGCGACCGGCGCAAGGGUGCGUAACGCGUGAGCAACAUGCCCGUAUCAGGGGGGAUAAUCCAGGGAAACUUGGUCUAAUACCCCGAUAGUAAUUUUGUAAGGCAUCUUAUAAGAUUUAAAGCUUUGGUGGAUACGGAUUGGCUCGCGUGACAUUAGCUGGAUGGUAAGGUAACGGCUUACCAUGGCUAUGAUGUCUAGGGGUUCUGAGAGGAAGGUCCCCCCACACUGGAACUGAGACACGGUCCAGACUCCUACGGGAGGCAGCAGUGAGGAAUAUUGGACAAUGGAUGGAAAUCUGAUCCAGCCAUGCCGCGUGAAGGAAAAGAAGGUCCUAUGGAUUGUAAACUUCUUUUGUAUGGGAGCAAUAAGGCCUACGAGUAGGUUGAUGAGAGUACCAUACGAAUAAGCACCGGCUAACUCCGUGCCAGCAGCCGC
rnacentral:rRNA from 1 species